UGUCACAGUAUAGAUGUGGGGUGACAGUGUGUAUUGUAUUGGUGUAGUGUGACAGUGUGUAUUGUAUGGUGUAGUGUGACAGUGUGUAUUGUAUUGGUGUGGGGUGACAGUGUGUAUUGUAUGGUGUAGUGUGACAGUGUGUAUUGUAUGGUGUAGUGUGACAGUGUGUAUUGUAUGGUUGUGGGGUGACAGUGUGUAUUGUAUAUGUGUGGGAUGACAGUGUGUAUUUUAUAGGUGUAGUGUAACAGUGUGUAUUGUAUAUGUGUGGGAUGACAGUGUGUAUUGUAUAUGUGUGGGAUGACAGUGUGUAUUUUAUAGGUGUAGUGUAACAGUGUGUAUUGUAUAUGUGUGGGAUGACAGUGUGUAUUUUAUAGGUGUAGUGUAACAGUGUGUAUUGUAUAUGUGUGGGAUGACAGUGUGUAUUUUAUAGGUGUAGUGUAACAGUGUGUAUUGUAUAUGUGUGGGAUGACAGUGUGUAUUUUAUAGGUGUAGUGUAACAGUGUGUAUUGUAUAUGUGUGGGAUGACAGUGUGUAUUUGUAUAGGUGUAGUGUGACAGUGUGUAUUGUAUAGUGUGUGGGGUGACAGUGUGUAUUGUGUAGGUGUAGUGUAACAGUGUGUAUUGUAUAUGCGUGGGAUGACAGUGUGUAUUGUAUAGGUGUGGGCAGGGCCGAUCCCAGAGUCACAGAAGCGUGGGUGCAGAUUUUUUUUGGCGUCUCCCAGGUCAUAUUACUAACCCCUCCCCUUUGCAAAUGUCAAGUCCAGACAUGCAUGUUUCUAUAGCAACGACUUCACCUCUCCAUCCAUAAUCACCACCAAUUUUUAUAAUCAGACAUGCACUCACUGACAGUCACACAAUUUCAGUGAGAG